UCCGUAACUUCGGGAUAAGGAGGACCCCAGUAGCGUGACGAGACUUGCUCUCCGAGCGUGAAGGGGUGGCACAAAAUUGAGGGAAGCGACUGUUUACCAAAAACACAGCAGCGUGCUAAGCCGUAAGGCGCUGUAUACGCUGUGACUCCUGCCCGGUGCUGGAAGGUUACGGGGAUGGGUUAGUCCUUCGGGACGAAGCUCUGAACCUAAGCCCCAGUAAACGGCGGCCGUAACUAUAACGGUCCUAAGGUAGCGAAAUUCCUUGUCGGGUAAGUUCCGACCUGCACGAAUGGAGUAACGACUUCCCUACUGUCUCAACCAUAGACCCAGCGAAAUUGAAGUACGAGUAAAGAUGCUCGGUAGCUGCAGAAUGACGGAAAGACCCCGUGGACCUUUACUAUAACUUGAUGUUGUGUUUUGUCAUAUGUUGUGUAGGAUAGGUGGGAGACAAGGAAGCAUGGACGCUAGUCUGUGUGGAGUCAUCGUUGAAAUACCACCCUGCAUAUGGUGAGGCUCUAACCCACCCGUUAUCCGGGUUGGGGACAGCGUCAGGCGGGUAGUUUAACUGGGGCGGUUGCCUCCUAAAGAGUAACGGAGGCGCCCAAAGGUUCCCUCAGCCUGGUUGGCAAUCAGGCGUCGAGUGCAAUGGCAAAAGGGAGCUUGACUGCGAGACCUACAAGUCGAGCAGGAGCGAAAGCUGGGCAUAGUGAUCCGGCGGUUGCGUGUGGAAGCGCCGUCGCUCAACGGAUAAAAGGUACCCCGGGGAUAACAGGCUAAUCUUGCCCAAGCGUCCAUAGCGACGGCAAGGUUUGGCACCUCGAUGUCGGCUCAUCGCAUCCUGGGGCUGAAGCAGGUCCCAAGGGUUGGGCUGUUCGCCCAUUAAAGCGGUACGCGAGCUGGGUUCAGAACGUCGUGAGACAGUUCGGUCCCUAUCCUCUGUAGCCGUAGGUGAAUUGAGGAAAGCUGUCCCUAGUACGAGAGGACCGGGACGGACGCAGCUCUCGUGUGCCAGUUGUCCUGCCAAGGGCAUGGCUGGUUAGCGACCUGCGGAAAGGAUAACCGCUGAAAGCAUCUAAGCGGGAAGCCUCUUCCGAGAUGAAUUCACCCACAGGGUUAACCUGGUAAGGCCCGUGGUAGACCACCACGUUGAUAGGCCGGAAGUGUAAGCGUGGCAACACGUUCAGCUGACCGGUACUAAUCGGCCGAGGGCUUGAAUU
rnacentral:rRNA from 1 species